rnacentral:rRNA from 1 species
GCGCACGGGUGCGUAACGCGUAUGCAACCUACCUUUAUCAGGGGGAUAGCCCGGAGAAAUCCGGAUUAAUACCGCAUAAAAUCACAGCACUGCAUAGUGCAAUGAUCAAACAUUUAUGGGAUAAAGAUGGGCAUGCGUGUCAUUAGCUAGUUGGCGGGGUAACGGCCCACCAAGGCGACGAUGACUAGGGGAUCUGAGAGGAUGGCCCCCCACACUGGUACUGAGACACGGACCAGACUCCUACGGGAGGCAGCAGUAAGGAAUAUUGGUCAAUGGAGGCAACUCUGAACCAGCCAUGCCGCGUGCAGGAAGACUGCCCUAUGGGUUGUAAACUGCUUUUAUCCGGGAAUAAACCUUUCUACGUGUAGGAAGCUGAAUGUACCGGAAGAAUAAGGAUCGGCUAACUCCGUGCCAGCAGCCGCGGUAAUACGGAGGAUCCAAGCGUUAUCCGGAUUUAUUGGGUUUAAAGGGUGCGUAGGCGGCCUGUUAAGUCAGGGGUGAAAGACGGUAGCUCAACUAUCGCAGUGCCCUUGAUACUGAUGGGCUUGAAUGGACUAGAGGUAGGCGGAAUGAGACAAGUAGCGGUGAAAUGCAUAGAUAUGUCUCAGAACACCGAUUGCGAAGGCAGCUUACUAUGGUCUUAUUGACGCUGAGGCACGAAAGCGUGGGGAUCAAACAGGAUUAGAUACCCUGGUAGUCCACGCCCUAAACGAUGAACACUCGCUGUUGGCGAUACACAGUCAGCGGCUAAGCGAAAGCGUUAAGUGUUCCACCUGGGGGAGUACGCCCGCAGGGUGAAACUCAAAGG